UGGGGAAUAUUGGACAAUGGGCGCAAGCCUGAUCCAGCCAUGCCGCGUGAGUGAUGAAGGCCUUAGGGUUGUAAAGCUCUUUUAGCAGGGAAGAUAAUGACGGUACCUGCAGAAAAAGCCCCGGCUAACUUCGUGCCAGCAGCCGCGGUAAUACGAAGGGGGCUAGCGUUGCUCGGAAUUACUGGGCGUAAAGCGCACGUAGGCGGACUCUUAAGUCGGGGGUGAAAUCCUGGAGCUCAACUCCAGAACUGCCUUCGAUACUGGGAGUCUUGAGUUCGGGAGAGGUGAGUGGAACUGCGAGUGUAGAGGUGAAAUUCGUAGAUAUUCGCAAGAACACCAGUGGCGAAGGCGGCUCACUGGCCCGAUACUGACGCUGAGGUGCGAAAGCGUGGGGAGCAAACA
rnacentral:rRNA from 1 species